CGCCUCUUGCAAAAUUAACAAAUAAGAGGUCCCGCCUGCCCUGUGACCAGAGUGUUUAACGGCCGCGGUAUCCUAACCGUGCGAAGGUAGCGCAAUCACUUGCUCUUUAAAUGGGGGCCCGUAUGAAUGGCUUAACGAGGGCUUAACUGUCUCCUUUUUCUGGUCAGUGAAUUUGAUCUCCCCGUGCAGAAGCGGGAAUAACACCAUAAGACGAGAAGACCCUAUGGAGCUUUAGACACCAAGGCAGACCACAUUUAAGCUACACAUAUUGAGGAUUUGUUGGGCCAUUUGGCUACUGCCCUAAUGUCUUCGGUUGGGGUGACCACAAGGGAAAACAAAGCCCCUGUGCGGAACGAGGAUACUAUUCCUCCAAACCGAGAGUUUCCACUCUAAGAAUCAGAACUUUUGACCUAACUGAUCCGGCAACGCCGAUCAACGGACCAAGUUACCCUAGGGAUAACAGCGCAAUCCUCUUUUAGAGCUCAUAUCGACAAGAGGGUUUACGACCUCGAUGUUGGAUCAGGACAUCCUAAUGGCGCAGCCGCUAUUAAGGGUUCGUUUGUUCAACGAUUAAAGUCCU
rnacentral:rRNA from 1 species